CUGGCUCAGGAUGAACGCUGGCGGCGUGCCUAAUACAUGCAAGUCGAGCGAACAGAUAAGGAGCUUGCUCCUUGACGUUAGCGGCGGACGGGUGAGUAACACGUGGGUAACCUACCUAUAAGACUGGGAUAACUUCGGGAAACCGGAGCUAAUACCGGAUAACAGUUUGGAACCGCAUGGUUCUAAAGUGAAAGAUGGUUUUGCUAUCACUUAUAGAUGGACCCGCGCCGUAUUAGCUAGUUGGUAAGGUAACGGCUUACCAAGGCGACGAUACGUAGCCGACCUGAGAGGGUGAUCGGCCACACUGGAACUGAGACAUGGUCCAGACUCCUACGGGAGGCAGCAGUAGGGAAUCUUCCGCAAUGGGCGAAAGCCUGACGGAGCAACGCCGCGUGAGUGAUGAAAGGGGUUUCGGCUCGUAAAACUCUGUUAUUAGGGAAGAACAGAUGUGUAAGUAACUGUGCACGUCUUGACGGUACCUAAUCAGAAAGCCACGGCUAACUACGUGCCAGCAGCAGC
rnacentral:rRNA from 1 species